GCCCUCGUGGCCUAAUGGAUAAGGCAUCGGUCUCCUAAACCGGGGAUUGCGGGUUCGAAUCCCGCCGAGGGUA
rnacentral:tRNA from 7 species